GGCGUGCCUAAUACAUGCAAGUCGAGCGAGCGGAACUAACAGAUUUACUUCGGUAAUGACGUUAGGAAAGCGAGCGGCGGAUGGGUGAGUAACACGUGGGGAAACCUGCCCCCAUAGUCUGGGGAUACCACUUGGAAACAGGUGCUAAUACCCGGGAUAAGAAAGCAGAUCGCAUGAUCAGCUUUUAAAAGGCGGCGUAAAGCUGUCGCUAUGGGGAUGGCCCCCGCGGUGCAUUAGCUAGUUGGUAAGGUAAAGGCUUACCAAGGCGAUGAUGCAUAGCCCGAGUUGAGAGACUGAUCGGCCACAUUGGGGACUGAGACACGGGCCCAAAAACUCCUACGGGGAGGCAGCAGUAGGGAAUCUUCCACAAUGGACGCAAGUCUGAUGGAGCAACGCCGCGUGAGUGAAGUAAGGUUUUCGGAUCGUAAAGCUCUGUUGUUGGUGAAGAAGGAUAGAGGUAGUAACUGGCCUUUAUUUGACGGUAAUCAACCAGAAAGUCACGGCUAACUACGUGCCCAGCAGCCGCGGGUAAU
rnacentral:rRNA from 1 species